ACAAUGAAGAGUUUGAUCCUGGCUCAGGAUGAACGCUAGCUACAGGCUUAACACAUGCAAGUCGAGGGGCAGCAGGAUCUAGCAAUAGAUUGCUGGCGACCGGCGCACGGGUGAGUAACACGUAUCCAACCUGCCGAUAACUCGGGGAUAGCCUUUCGAAAGAAAGAUUAAUACCCGAUGGUAUAAUCAGACCGCAUGGUUUGAUUAUUAAAGAAUUUCGGUUAUCGAUGGGGAUGCGUUCCAUUAGGCAGUUGGUGAGGUAACGGCUCACCAAACCUUCGAUGGAUAGGGGUUCUGAGAGGAAGGUCCCCACAUUGGAACUGAGACACGGUCCAAACUCCUACGGGAGGCAGCAGUGAGGAAUAUUGGUCAAUGGACGCGAGUCUGAACCAGCCAAGUAGCGUGAAGGAUGACUGCCCUAUGGGUUGUAAACUUCUUUUAUAUGGGAAUAAAGUUUUCCACGUGUGGAAUUUUGUAUGUACCAUAUGAAUAAGGAUCGGCUAACUCCGUGCCAGCAGCCGCGGUAAUACGGAGGAUCCGAGCGUUAUCCGGAUUUAUUGGGUUUAAAGGGAGCGUAGGUGGACAGUUAAGUCAGUUGUGAAAGUUUGCGGCUCAACCGUAAAAUUGCAGUUGAUACUGGCUGUCUUGAGUACAGUAGAGGUGGGCGGAAUUCGUGGUGUAGCGGUGAAAUGCUUAGAUAUCACGAAGAACUCCGAUUGCGAAGGCAGCUCACUGGACUGCAACUGACACUGAUGCUCGAAAGUGUGGGUAUCAAACAGGAUUAGAUACCCUGGUAGUCCACACAGUAAACGAUGAAUACUCGCUGUUUGCGAUAUACAGUAAGCGGCCAAGCGAAAGCAUUAAGUAUUCCACCUGGGGAGUACGCCGGCAACGGUGAAACUCAAAGGAAUUGACGGGGGCCCGCACAAGCGGAGGAACAUGUGGUUUAAUUCGAUGAUACGCGAGGAACCUUACCCGGGCUUAAAUUGCAUUUGAAUAAUCUGGAAACAGGUUAGCCGCAAGGCAAAUGUGAAGGUGCUGCAUGGUUGUCGUCAGGCUCGUGCCGUGAGGUGUCGGCUUAAGUGCCAUAACGAGCGCAACCCUUAUCUUUAGUUACUAACAGGUCAUGCUGAGGACUCUAGAGAGACUGCCGUCGUAAGAUGUGAGGAAGGUGGGGAUGACGUCAAAUCAGCACGGCCCUUACGUCCGGGGCUACACACGUGUUACAAUGGGGGGUACAGAAGGCAGCUACCUGGUGACAGGAUGCUAAUCCCAAAAGCCUCUCUCAGUUCGGAUCGAAGUCUGCAACCCGACUUCGUGAAGCUGGAUUCGCUAGUAAUCGCGCAUCAGCCAUGGCGCGGUGAAUACGUUCCCGGGCCUUGUACACACCGCCCGUCAAGCCAUGAAAGCCGGGGGCAUUCCUGAAGUACGUAACCGCAAGGAGCGUCCUAGGGUAAAACUGGUAAUUGGGGCUAAGUCGUAACAAGGUAGCCGUACCGGAAGGUGCGGCUGGAACACCUCCUUU
rnacentral:rRNA from 1 species